UGGGCAGCCCAGGCUGGUCUGGAACUCUGCAGAGAUCCUCCUGCUUCAGCCUCCUGAGUGCUAGGACUACAGGGAUUGGCCACCAUGCUGAGCAGUUACUUCACUUGAAGUCCUGGAGGCGAAACCACUGAGGACCGUGCACUGCCCAGGGCCCUGCAACCUCCUCGUGUCCUUCCGAGACUCUGUCUGGUUCGGUCCUUUGGGAUGAGCUCCUCCCCGUGCAGGAGUGGAAGGGAGCCCAGGGCAAGUGACUGAACUUUCUGAGACUCAAGCUUUUUCACCUGUGAAAUGAGCAUCCUUGGGCCAGUCGUGCUGCCGCACACCUGUGAUCCCAGCACUUGGGAGGCUGAAGCAGGAGGACUGUUACCAGUUCGAAGCCAGCCUGGACUACAUAUUGAGACCCUGCUGGAAAAGCAGAAAAGCAAAAUGAAACAAAAUGGGCACCCUUGCCAGUGGUCACAGGUGCCCUUAAGGACAACUACAGUG
ensembl:lncRNA